rnacentral:hammerhead_ribozyme from 1 species
GCACUGCUGAGGAGUCCCGUACUAGGACGAAACAGCCUGUUCAGUGC